UACGUAGGUGGCGAGCGUUGUCCGGAUUUACUGGGCGUAAAGGGCGUGCAGGCGGUUUGUUAAGUGUGGGGUGAAAGCUCCCGGCUCAACUGGGAGAGGUCUUUGCAUACUGGCGAACUCGAGGGAGGCAGAGGAAAGUGGAAUUCCCGGUGUAGUGGUGAUAUGCGUAGAUAUCGGGAGGAACACCUGUGGCGAAGGCGGCUUUCUGGGCCUUACCUGACGCUGAGACGCGAAAGCGUGGGGAGCGAACCGG
rnacentral:rRNA from 1 species